GACGAACGCUGGCGGCGUGCUUAACACAUGCAAGUCGAACGAAGAGCGAUGGAAGCUUGCUUCUAUCAAUCUUAGUGGCGAACGGGUGAGUAACGCGUAAUCAACCUGCCCUUCAGAGGGGGACAACAGUUGGAAACGACUGCUAAUACCGCAUACGAUUUAAUCUCGGCAUCGAGGAUAGAUGAAAGGUGGCCUCUACAUGUAAGCUAUCACUGAAGGAGGGGAUUGCGUCUGAUUAGCUAGUUGGAGGGGUAACGGCCCACCAAGGCGAUGAUCAGUAGCCGGUCUGAGAGGAUGAACGGCCACAUUGGGACUGAGACACGGCCCAGACUCCUACGGGAGGCAGCAGUGGGGAAUCUUCCGCAAUGGACGAAAGUCUGACGGAGCAACGCCGCGUGAGUGAUGACGGCCUUCGGGUUGUAAAGCUCUGUUAAUCGGGACGAAAGGCCUUCUUGCGAAUAGUGAGAAGGAUUGACGGUACCGGAAAGAAAGCC
rnacentral:rRNA from 1 species